GACGAACGCUGGCGGCGUGCUUAACACAUGCAAGUCGAACGGAAAGGCCCUGCUUUUGUGGGGUGCUCGAGCGGCGAACGGGUGAGUAACACGUGAGUAACCUGCCCUUGACUUUGGGAUAACUUCAGGAAACUGGGGCUAAUACCGGAUAGGAGCUCCUGCUGCAUGGUGGGGGUUGGAAAGUUUCGGCGGUUGGGGAUGGACUCGCGGCUUAUCAGCUUGUUGGUGGGGUAGUGGCUUACCAAGGCUUUGACGGGUAGCCGGCCUGAGAGGGUGACCGGCCACAUUGGGACUGAGAUACGGCCCAGACUCCUACGGGAGGCAGAAGUGGGGAAUAUUGCACAAUGGGCGGAAGCCUGAUGCAGCAACGCCGCGUGCGGGAUGACGGCCUUCGGGUUGUAAACCGCUUUCGCCUGUGACGAAGCGGGAGUGACGGUAAUGGGUAAAGAAGCACCGGCUAACUACGUG
rnacentral:rRNA from 1 species